rnacentral:snRNA from 1 species
GGAUGUGAGGGUGGCGGGCUCAACAUGUGUCACCCCAUUGCUAGCAAGGGUCGAUCCAUCAGAUCUCUCCGGCAGCCUGCGUGCCCCUCCUCCCUCACUGCUCCGUGUUGAAGAGGAUGAUUUUCCCAGGGUAGAGGACUGACCCAUAUUCAGUCAAGGGUAUAUGAGUAGCCCUGCUUCCCCGCCAGAGCCUCCUGACAAGCUCUCAAGAAGAGAAGUAUUUCAAGUAAAGCACUCUAGAUGACCCUGUGAACUCGGUUCAGUUAGAAGCCG